rnacentral:rRNA from 1 species
GGGUUGUGAGGUUAAGCGACUAAGCGUACACGGUGGAUGCCCUGGCAGUCAGAGGCGAUGAAGGACGUGCUAAUCUGCGAAAAGCGUCGGUAAGGUGAUAUGAACCGUUACAGCCGGCGAUGUCCGAAUGGGGAAACCCAGUGCAAUUCGUUGCACUAUCGUUAACUGAAUACAUAGGUUAACGAGGCGAACCGGGGGAACUGAAACAUCUAAGUACCCCGAGGAAAAGAAAUCAACCGAGAUUCCCCCAGUAGCGGCGAGCGAACGGGGAGCAGCCCAGAGUCUGAAUCAGCUUGUGUGUUAGUGGAACGGUCUGGAAAGUCCGACGGUACAGGGUGAUAGUCCCGUACACCAAAAUGCACAGGCUGUGAACUCGAAGAGUAGGGCGGGACACGUGGUAUCCUGUCUGAAUAUGGGGGGACCAUCCUCCAAGGCUAAAUACUCCUGACUGACCGAUAGUGAACCAGUACCGUGAGGGAAAGGCGAAAAGAACCCCGGCGAGGGGAGUGAAAAAGAACCUGAAACCGUGUACGUACAAGCAGUGGGAGCACCUUCGGGUGUGACUGCGUACCUUUUGUAUAAUGGGUCAGCGACUUAUAUUCUGUAGCAAGGUUAACCGUAUAGGGGAGCCGCAGGGAAACCGAGUCUUAACUGGGCGUUAAGUUGCAGGGUAUAGACCCGAAACCCGGUGAUCUAGCCAUGGGCAGGUUGAAGGUUGGGUAACACUAACUGGAGGACCGAACCGACUAAUGUUGAAAAAUUAGCGGAUGACUUGUGGCUGGGGGUGAAAGGCCAAUCAAACCGGGAGAUAGCUGGUUCUCCCCGAAAGCUAUUUAGGUAGCGCCUCGUGAACUCAUCUUCGGGGGUAGAGCACUGUUUCGGCUAGGGGGUCAUCCCGACUUACCAACCCGAUGCAAACUACGAAUACCGAAGAAUGUUAUCACGGGAGACACACGGCGGGUGCUAACGUCCGUCGUGAAGAGGGAAACAACCCAGACCGCCAGCUAAGGUCCCAAAGUCAUGGUUAAGUGGGAAACGAUGUGGGAAGGCACAGACAGCCAGGAUGUUGGCUUAGAAGCAGCCAUCAUUUAAAGAAAGCGUAAUAGCUCACUGGUCGAGUCGGCCUGCGCGGAAGAUGUAACGGGGCUAAACCAUGCACCGAAGCUGCGGCAGCGACACUAUGUGUUGUUGGGUAGGGGAGCGUUCUGUAAGCCUGCGAAGGUGUGCUGUGAGGCAUGCUGGAGGUAUCAGAAGUGCGAAUGCUGACAUAAGUAACGAUAAAGCGGGUGAAAAGCCCGCUCGCCGGAAGACCAAGGGUUCCUGUCCAACGUUAAUCGGGGCAGGGUGAGUCGACCCCUAAGGCGAGGCCGAAAGGCGUAGUCGAUGGGAAACAGGUUAAUAUUCCUGUACUUGGUGUUACUGCGAAGGGGGGACGGAGAAGGCUAUGUUAGCCGGGCGACGGUUGUCCCGGUUUAAGCAUGUAGGCUGGUUGUCCAGGCAAAUCCGGAUAAUCAAGGCUGAGGUGUGAUGACGAGGCACUACGGUGCUGAAGUAACAAAUGCCCUGCUUCCAGGAAAAGCCUCUAAGCAUCAGGUAACAUCAAAUCGUACCCCAAACCGACACAGGUGGUCAGGUAGAGAAUACCAAGGCGCUUGAGAGAACUCGGGUGAAGGAACUAGGCAAAAUGGUGCCGUAACUUCGGGAGAAGGCACGCUGGUGUGUAGGUGAAGUCCCUGCGGAUGGAGCUGAGACCAGUCGAAGAUACCAGCUGGCUGCAACUGUUUAUUAAAAACACAGCACUGUGCAAACACGAAAGUGGACGUAUACGGUGUGACGCCUGCCCGGUGCCGGAAGGUUAAUUGAUGGGGUUAUCCGUAAGGAGAAGCUCUUGAUCGAAGCCCCGGUAAACGGCGGCCGUAACUAUAACGGUCCUAAGGUAGCGAAAUUCCUUGUCGGGUAAGUUCCGACCUGCACGAAUGGCGUAAUGAUGGCCAGGCUGUCUCCACCCGAGACUCAGUGAAAUUGAACUCGCUGUGAAGAUGCAGUGUACCCGCGGCAAGACGGAAAGACCCCGUGAACCUUUACUAUAGCUUGACACUGAACAUUGAGCCUUGAUGUGUAGGAUAGGUGGGAGGCUUUGAAGCGUGGACGCCAGUCUGCGUGGAGCCAACCUUGAAAUACCACCCUUUAAUGUUUGAUGUUCUAACGUUGGCCCCUUACCGGGGUUGCGGACAGUGUCUGGUGGGUAGUUUGACUGGGGCGGUCUCCUCCCAAAGCGUAACGGAGGAGCACGAAGGUUAGCUAAUCCUGGUCGGACAUCAGGAGGUUAGUGCAAUGGCAUAAGCUAGCUUGACUGCGAGCGUGACGGCGCGAGCAGGUGCGAAAGCAGGUCAUAGUGAUCCGGUGGUUCUGAAUGGAAGGGCCAUCGCUCAACGGAUAAAAGGUACUCCGGGGAUAACAGGCUGAUACCGCCCAAGAGUUCAUAUCGACGGCGGUGUUUGGCACCUCGAUGUCGGCUCAUCACAUCCUGGGGCUGAAGUAGGUCCCAAGGGUAUGGCUGUUCGCCAUUUAAAGUGGUACGCGAGCUGGGUUUAGAACGUCGUGAGACAGUUCGGUCCCUAUCUGCCGUGGGCGCUGGAGAAUUGAGGGGGGCUGCUCCUAGUACGAGAGGACCGGAGUGGACGCAUCACUGGUGUUCGGGUUGUCAUGCCAAUGGCACUGCCCGGUAGCUAAAUGCGGAAGAGAUAAGUGCUGAAAGCAUCUAAGCACGAAACUUGCCCCGAGAUGAGUUCUCCCUGAGACUAUAAGUCUCCUGAAGGAACGUUAAAGACGAUGACGUUGAUAGGCCGGGUGUGUAAGCGCAGCGAUGCGUUGAGCUAACCGGUACUAAUGAACCGUGAGGCUUAACCUUACAACGCCGAAG